rnacentral:rRNA from 1 species
GAUGAACGCUAGCGAUAGGCUUAACACAUGCAAGUCGAGGGACCGGCGGAUGGGUGAGUAACGCGUAUGCCACUUUCCUCUUAGUGGGGGAUAACCCGGAGAAAUCCGGACUACUACCGCAUACUAAGAGAUAGGCAUGCGUUCCAUUAGUUAGUUGGUAAGGUAACGGCUCACCAAGGCACCGAUGGAUAGGGGAGCUGAGAGGCGGCUACCCCACGUUGGGACUGAGACCCGGCCCACAAUCCGACGGGACGCAGCAGUGAGGAAUAUUGGUCAAUGGAGGAAGACCUGAACCAGCCAAGUCGCGUGAAGAAGGACGAUGUAUGGAUUGUAAACUUCUUUAGUAGGAGAGUAGGUAGCCUAAGAAUAAGUAUCGGCUAACUACGUGCCAGCAGCCGCGGUAAUAC